AUUGAACGCUGGCGGCAGGCCUAACACAUGCAAGUCGAGCGAGCGGCGGACGGGUGAGUAAUGUCUGGGAAACUGCCUGAUGGAGGGGGAUAACUGCUGGAAACGGUGGCUAAUACCGCAUACCAUCAGAUGUGCCCAGAUUGGAUUAGCUGGUAGGUGGGGGAACGGCUCACCUCGGCGACGAUCCCUAGCUGGUCUGAGAGGAUGACCAGCCACACUGGAACUGAGACACGGGCCAGACGGCUACGGGAGGAAGCAGUGGGGAAUAUUGCACAAUGGGCGCAAGCCUGAUGCAGCCAUGCCGCGUGUGUGAAGAAGCCCUUCGGGUUGUAAAGCACUUUCAGCGGGGAGGCGUUACCCGCAGAAGAAGCACCGGCUAACUCCGUGCCAGCAGCCGCGGUAAUUC
rnacentral:rRNA from 1 species